UGAGCAUGUCUGCGUGCGAACCGGCUUCGCUCUUCUUGCGCGUCCAGGCAGACGGAUGCGUUUCUCUCCGCAUCUGCUUGAGCAGGCACGAGCGUCUUUGCAGAGAUGAGGGAAGUUGACCCCGAAAGGAUGUCAGGUCGGAAACACCUUCAUCGUCACCUCUGCGUUUGCCUCUUGCUCCAUCUUGUAACCCCAAAUAAAGCAAAGGCGAAGAGCCGGCGCCCAGUGAUACUCGCUUAGAACGGA